AGAGGAGAGGAGGAGCAGGAGCAGGAGCAGGGGCAGUGGAAGACGGUGCUUUCACACUGGAGUUAACCCAGCAGCCCCAAAGGAUGAAGCAUUGUGAACUGGGAAAAGGGAGGCAGCGUAAUGGUAAACUGAGGCAUUCUAGAAUGCUGGCAGCAUUUGCUCUUACAGGCGAUGUGUUAACUAAGGUCACUAGAGGUGAAUCAAUAUUUGUUCUUUUUAAUACAUUUAUAUGUAAAAAGUGACAAGAACUGGUUGUGACCUUGUCCUGUCUCUCCAUCACUGGCACACAAGAAGGCCCACCUAUCACGAUUCCUCACCUCAAACUAUCUGGCAGUUGCUGCUGGAACUGUAGGCAUUACACUGCUGAGUGAAAAAUAAUUUUCUAAAGGAGUUGUCUUUUGUCCUAUAGAAGGACAACAAAUGCUACAACUUGAUUUUGAGGGUGAAUCUAACUUUGGAUAAAGUCACUUUUUCCUUUCCUAAACAUUUCUAACAAUUUUAACAACAGGUCAUUUUUAUACAUAGUAGAUUCUUCAUAAAUAAUCCAGAACCAGUAACCACAUGCAGCCUGCAGGGGUCCAGAAUCACUGAUUGGAUAUACCAAGUGUUGACCGAAGCUGCCCUUUCUGAGACAGCCUGUCCUCCUUGGCCUGUGGACCUUUGUGACCCUGCAGUGGGGGUAUAGUGAGGCCUUUCUUCUGGAGACGGAACGACAAGCUUCUAAUCCCAGCUCUGUCACGUUCCUACUGGGCGACCUGGCAGGUACUCGACCUCUCUGACUUGAGGGGAUAUGCACAUUUCUUUAAGAAUGCAUGGAGUGAAUGAAAAUAACAUGGGGGUAUGAACCACAGAGUGAACAUGUACCACAAACAACUCUUGUUGAAAUAUACAGUCCCGGGAAAUGUCACCGUCUUCAUUUACUAAAGUGUGAUGGAGAGGGGGAUUGCUGAACAAUCCCAGGGACAGACGUCAUCAUGGAAUGUCAGAGACGCCAAGGUGGAGUUGUAUUGUUAAAUAACCCCAAACAUUUUUCUUCAGAGGACUUUUGCCAAAGGAACCAUUUUCUAUUUGUAGAAAAUGCAUAUGUGAUUUAAUGACAGGACUCACCUAAACCCCACUCCUAAAGGUCUGUAUUAUUCUACAGAUUACUUAAUUUUUAAUAACAUAGACAUCAUUUUUCUUUAAAAAGUAAGAUUUGAAGUUCUUUCUGA
rnacentral:lncRNA from 1 species